AUGGCCCUAGAGGUAAUUCUCCGUUUGGACGAGGCCCAAGACUCCCGGCCUCUCAGUGCUGAUGAGCGAGAUCUUCGUAGGAGGCUCAAGCGCAAGGUGAUUAGUCUAUCUGUGCUUGAGCGUGCCCGAAAAAGGCAAUGUUCGAGAAUCACCAACCUCAAAGUUGGAGAUGCCAACACCCGUUUUUUUCAUCUACGUGUCAAUUGUAGAAGAAGAAAGAAUUUCAUUCACCGCCUCAAGCACAAUAGUGGAUGGGUGACUGAUCAUGAUCACAAGAAGUCCAUCAUCCAAAACCACUUCCUGGAGGUAACAAAAAGGGGCCCACCUCGCAGCAUUGACAUUAAUUGGAGUAAUAUUCCGGUCCCUGCAUGUGACCUUUCGGAUCUUGGGGCUGCCUUCACAGAGGAAGAGGUUAAGAGGGCAAUCUGGGAUCUCCCAAGUGACAAAGCCCCGGGGCCGGAUGGCUUCACCGGUGCCUUCUUCAAGGACUGUUGGGAGAUCAUCAAGGGGGACAUUAUGGUCGCGGUCAACCACUUCUCCAACUUGCACACCGCCAACCUCCAUUGGCUCAACUCGGCGAACAUCGCC
rnacentral:rRNA from 1 species